UCACCUCCUUUCUAAGGAUGAUCCUUCAGAUCAGCUCACGCUAUCUAUCGGAUCGUUUUAGAAACAUUCAGGGGCCAACAGUUUCAGGAUUGUUGAGCUCCAUUGGCGGGAUUUCGCCGUCUUCGUUUCUCUUUCUUCGCGGACGAACACGCGCCAGGGGCUGAGCGCUGUGCGGUGCACCGACUAAGCGUCGCGUGCGCGCCGGCAUGUCUCUCGUGUUAGGGGCUUGUAGCUCAGUUGGUUAGAGCGCGCGCUUGAUAAGCGUGAGGUCGGAAGUUCAAGUCUUCCCAGGCCCACCAUUUUGAUCGAGUGCGGAGCAUUCGUCUUCUGGUACGGGGCCAUAGCUCAGCUGGGAGAGCGCGUGCUUUGCAAGCAUGAGGUCGUCGGUUCGAUCCCGUCUGGCUCCACCAGAUGGUUUGAUCACCAACGGCGUUACCGUCGUCCGCGAAACAUCACUUCGCACUCAUUGGUCCGGAUGGACGGUGACGUGCGUGUUUUCUGACAUCGUAAAGAGGAGAUCGAUCCGAGUUUGGAUCAAGCGAAGCAAUUCGUCUGAACCAUUCAUUAUCUCCGGGAUCAUUUCGGCGCUCGCGCAUCGCAGUUCAUCGCAAGAUGAGUGGGGUGAGCGGGUUGUAAAUGAUCUCUUUUAGCGAAGCUUGACCGCCUCGCUAUCGGGCCGAUCUUACGAAGCAAGCUGGUCUUUCUAGUCAAUGUCCGGCUGCGCAAUCGCAUUCAUCGAGGAUGCGUGCCUGGGACUUCGGUCUUCGGGCAGUUGCGCAGACAACAUUCUGCCGAGUGUGUGGACAUUGAUAAUGAGAGCAAUCAAGUGCCUUAAGGGUGUUCGGUGGAUGCCUUGGCGCUGAGAGGCGAUGAAGGACGUGCUACGCUGCGAUAAGCCGUGGGGAGCUGCGAAGAAGCUUUGAUCCGCGGAUUUCCAGGGGGGGG
rnacentral:misc_RNA from 1 species